GUAGGUGGCAAGCGUUGUCCGGAAUUAUUGGGCGUAAAGCGCGCGCAGGCGGUUCUUUAAGUCUGAUGUGAAAGCCCACGGCUCAACCGUGGAGGGUCAUUGGAAACUGGAGAACUUGAGUACAGAAGAGGAAAGCGGAAUUCCACGUGUAGCGGUGUAAUGCGUAGAGAUGUGGAGGAACACCAGUGGCGAAGGCGGCUUUCUGGUCUGUAACUGACGCUGAGGCGCGAAAGCGUGGGGAGCAAACAGGGAUUAGAUACCCUGGUAGUCCACGCCGUAAACGAUGAGUGCUAAGUGUUAGGGGGUUUCCGCCCCCUUAGUGCUGCAGCCAACGCAUUAAGCACUCCGCCUGGGGAGUACGGCCGCAAGGCUG
rnacentral:rRNA from 1 species